AUUGAACGCUGGCGGCAUGCUUUACACAUGCAAGUCGAACGGUAACAGGGAAAAGCUUGCUUUUCUGCUGACGAGUGGCGAACGGGUGAGUAAUACAUCGGAACGUGCCCUGUAGUGGGGGAUAACUACUCGAAAGAGUGGCUAAUACCGCAUACAACCUGAGGGUAAAAGUGGGGGACCGCAAGGCCUCACGCUAUAGGAGCGGCCGAUGGAAGAUUAGGUAGUUGGUAGGGUAAAGGCCUACCAAGCCGACGAUCUGUAGCUGGUCUGAGAGGACGAUCAGCCACACUGGGACUGAGACACGGCCCAGACUCCUACGGGAGGCAGCAGUGGGGAAUUUUGGACAAUGGGCGAAAGCCUGAUCCAGCAAUGCCGCGUGCAGGAUGAAGGCCUUCGGGUUGUAAACUGCUUUUGUACGGAACGAAAAGCUUCGGGUUAAUACCCUGGAGCCAUGACGGUACCGUAAGAAUAAGCACCGGCUAACUACGUGCCAGCAGCCGCGGUAAUACGUAGGGUGCAAGCGUUAAUCGGAAUUACUGGGCGUAAAGCGUGCGCAGGCG
rnacentral:rRNA from 1 species